rnacentral:rRNA from 1 species
UACAGAGGGUGCGAGCGUUAAUCGGAAUUACUGGGCGUAAAGCGUGCGCAGACGGUCAUGUAAGUCGGGUGUGAAAGCCCCGGGCUCAACCUGGGAAUUGCAUUCGAGACUGCAUGGCUAGGGUGCGGAAGAGGGAAGCGGAAUUUCCGGUGUAGCGGUGAAAUGCGCAGAUAUCAGGAGGAACACCAAUGGCGAAGGCAGCUCGCUGGGACGUGACUGACGCUGAGACGCGAAAGCGUGGGGAGCAAACAGG